ACACAAAUAGUUCAUUUUAUUGCAUGUGAUUUAUGUUAAAUGCCUUAAUAAUGGUUCUUUCUUAAUCAGGAUUGCGUAUUAUUUUCACACUUGAUGAAGUGGCCUUUAUACAGAAUCUUGUAUUUUAUAUCGAGGCUGCCUAUAAAGUUGCUGAUUAUGGCAUGUGGGAACGUGGUGAUAAGACAAAUCAGGGCAUUCCUGAGUUGAAUGCAAGCUCUGUUGGAAUGGCAAAAGUAGGAAUGUUUGUUUUUUUAAAAUAAAUAGAUCAGAAAUAAUUACAGCCACUUGUAAGUUGAUUGAAACUUAUAACUUAUACCUACAGACUUGAACUUAACAAAGCUUAUUUCUUAGUAUUCACAUGUUUAUUUCUAAUCUUGAAAUCAAAAAGUACUGUAGUAACCAAUAGAUUCGUCACUGAUUUGAUAAGGAUCUUGAUUAAUUUUCUGGCUGUGAAAGUAAAAUAUGUGCAAACAAGCCAGUGGAUAAGAACCAACUGAGUUUUUUGGGACAGGGAAAUCAACAAACUGGAAUUUGUCCAUCUUUAGCUGCAAGAUCAAUAUUCCAAGAUGUAUAGAAGUAUUACUAACCAUAGAUCCUUUUGCAGCUGAUUGAAGGGAUUGUAAUUCAUAUUUUUGACCAGGAACAAUUAAAUGAUGACCUCAUGCUAAUAUAUCUCAAUAUAAACUGGCUUGUUUUUAUUAAAGCUGCUAUUUUCACUAUAUGGCAGUUGUGUAAGUACAUAUCAACUAGGGGUGGUAUAAUAAUACCAAAUUGAGUCACCUUGAAGAAAACAAGAUAAUUUCUAGAUCUGUUUUUGUGAAAGUUGGGUUUUUAAAAUUAAUAUUUAAGAUUAAGUAGUGGAAAAUGCUUAAUAUGACAAAGCAUUAAAAACUAGUUUCACAAUGCACAGGACUAUGGAUGAAGUCUUUCUUUUGUAUUAAUACAGCUGAGUUGAUUGUAAGACUUGUGCAACUGCUUUCAAAAUUGGUUCUGAUGGCCAUUAUUCCGAUUGUAUUAAUGAUUUGAAAAUAAAUGCUCAUGCAAAAGCUAUUUUGGAAUGGUUAGCACUGCCUUAAUACUUAAUUAUUAAUAGGUUAUGUAUAAACUAUUUAAUAUUUGGUUGCACCCCUAUGCUCACUUAAUGGGAAAAAUUCAUCCAAAUUGAAAUUACCUUUAUAUAAAUUUAUAUAGAGAUACUCUUUUUUGAGGAAGGGGUACCUUUGAAUCAAUCGUGAGUCCUGACAUUUACCUGGCCAGCAUCUAAAGUUUUCUUGAUAUGGUUCUUCAGAAAUGCUUUGCCAUUAGAAAUGAUUUGCUUUGCAUUGCUGAAGGCUUUCAAAAAGAGACCGGA
rnacentral:lncRNA from 1 species